UCAAAUUCAAGGAGUAUAUUUUAGCUUUCCAAAAAGAUAUAAUUCCUGGGAUUGAUUGUUUAUUAUAGACAAGAAGUCUGUUCAAGCAGUCAGUUGUUGGGAGUUAUUAAAAACACUUAUCUGUCAAAAUGAUAACAAUUUUUUAACACUGAUGUAGACUUAAAUAUAUCUGACGGCACGUUUGUUUAAUUGGA